CUCUUGGAUUUGUCCGCCAUAUUACAUGGCUUCCUCCUGUUCCGUCCGUUUGUCGAGUGUCGUCGAGACCGAGAGAAGAUCGACGGCGGACGACGGGUUACAAUGGAGGACUUCAGAAAGGCCACAUCCGGAGUCUUUUCUUCUCGCUACAACUUGCUCUUCACCAACCGUAGACCUUCCUGUGAACACAAAGGAAUUUCUCGAUUACUUUUUACUAAUAUAGGCAUUUCUCAAAAAAAUCGUUUACUGUGACAAUUUUCUAGAAAAAUAGGUAAUGGAAAUUAAUUUAUUCAGUCCACAUGUUGAUGUUAACAAUCACAAAUUUUGUUUAUUAAAGGACCAACAAAACGGAUUUGUCCCCUCUCUUUCGUACAUAAAUAUACAAUGAAAGUAUGUCAUUGAGGGAGUCAGCAAUGUUCCAGUUGCCCAAGAGCAAGCCUAGCAUUGAGAGGACACUUUACUUUAUGAAAGCUGCACAGCAUCACAUGCAUUGUAAAGAUAGUGCGAGAAAGUGAGAUGAACUUUGAAGGAAAUACAUGUAGCUUUAGUAGCUAAGUGAAAUGGACCCCGUGAUGGAAAAACUUCUUUGAUUGGUGAAGCGUGGCGAGUUGUAUAUUACGUAGACAAGCUCUGUGUGGUGAGAUAAAUCGAAGAUUUUAUGAACUACCUGCUUGUUUCAGAAGGGCCGAUAACUUUCUCCUUCCUCUAUAUGAGUCGAACCUCUCCGGCCGAGAUAUUGAAUACUUGUUUGAUAAACAAGACAGUUAUACUAUAAGUAAAUACUUUUUUAACUGUG
rnacentral:sRNA from 1 species